rnacentral:misc_RNA from 1 species
AAAGUCGUAACAAGGUCUCCGUUGGUGAACCAGCGGAGGGAUCAUUACCGAGUUGUAACACUCACAAACCCACUGCAAACGUACCCAUUUUGGUGACUCCGGCAGGCGGCCCCAGGGCGGGGCCUCAGCCUUUUUAGGCGCCUGCCGAAGGUGCCGCAACUUUACUCUAUAAUCAUGUAUUCUGAGUCCUAAGACAAAAUAUCAAAAUUUUCAAUUGUGGAUCUCUUGGUUCUG